rnacentral:misc_RNA from 1 species
UCUCCGUAGGUGCACCUGCGGAGGGAUCAUUACUGAGUUAGUGCUCACGCCCGACCUCCAACCCUUUGUGAACACCUCUUGUUGCUUCGGGGGCGACCCUGCCGGCACUCGGUCGCCGGGCGCCCCCGAAGGUCUCCAAACACUGCUUCUUUGCGUCGGAGUUUAAAACAAAUUAAACAAAACUUUCAACAACGGAUCUCUUGGUUCUGGCAUCGAUGAAGAACGCAGC